UGGGGAAUUUUGCACAAUGGGGGAAACCCUGAUGCAGCGACGCCGCGUGAUUUAGAAGGCCUUCGGGUUGUAAAAAUCUUUUCUAUGGGAAGAAAAUGACAGUACCAUAGGAAUAAGGACCGGCUAAUUACGUGCCAGCAGCCGCGGUAAUACGUAAGGUCCGAGCGUUGUCCGGAAUCAUUGGGCGUAAAGGGUACGUAGGCGGGUAAGCAAGUUAGAAGUGAAAUCCUAUAGCUCAACUAUAGUAAGCUUUUAAAACUGCUCAUCUUGAGGUAUGGAAGGGAAAGUGGAAUUCCUAGUGUAGCGGUGAAAUGCACAGAUAUUAGGAGGAAUACCGGUGGCGAAGGCGAAUUUCUGGACAUACCCUGACGCUGAGGUACGAAAGCGUGGGUAGCAAACAGG
rnacentral:rRNA from 1 species